rnacentral:rRNA from 1 species
AGAGUUUGAUCCUGGCUCAGGAUGAACGCUAGCGGCAGGCUUAAUACAUGCAAGUCGAACGGGAUUCGGGGUAGCAAUACUUUGAUGAGAGUGGCGCACGGGUGCGUAACGCGUAUGCAACCUACCUUUAACAGGGGAAUAGCCCCGAGAAAUCGGGAUUAAUACUCCGUAACAUUGCGGUGUGGCAUCACACUGCAAUUAAAGAUUUAUCGGUUAAAGAUGGGCAUGCGUGACAUUAGCUAGUUGGUGAGGUAACGGCUCACCAAGGCAACGAUGUUUAGGGGUCCUGAGAAGGUUAUCCCCCACACUGGUACUGAGACACGGACCAGACUCCUACGGGAGGCAGCAGUAAGGAAUAUUGGUCAAUGGGCGCAAGCCUGAACCAGCCAUGCCGCGUGCAGGAAGACGGCCCUAUGGGUUGUAAACUGCUUUUAUCAGGGAAUAAACCCCCGCUCGUGAGCGGGGCUGAAGGUACCUGAAGAAUAAGCAUCGGCUAACUCCGUGCCAGCAGCCGCGGUAAUACGGAGGAUGCAAGCGUUAUCCGGAUUCAUUGGGUUUAAAGGGUGCGCAGGCGGAUUGGUAAGUCAGGGGUGAAAUCCCACAGCUCAACUGUGGAACUGCCUUUGAUACUGUCAGUCUAGAGUAUAGUUGAAGUUGGCGGAAUGUGUCAUGUAGCGGUGAAAUGCUUAGAUAUGACACAGAACACCGAUCGCGAAGGCAGCUAGCUAAGCUAUAACUGACGCUCAUGCACGAAAGCGUGGGGAUCAAACAGGAUUAGAUACCCUGGUAGUCCACGCUGUAAACGAUGAUUACUCGAUGUUGGCGAUACACAGUCAGCGUCUGAGCGAAAGCAAUAAGUAAUCCACCUGGGGAGUACGAUCGCAAGAUUGAAACUCAAAGGAAUUGACGGGGGCCCGCACAA